rnacentral:rRNA from 1 species
CCUACGGGUGGCAGCAGUGGGGAAUAUUGGACAAUGGGGGAAACCCUGAUCCAGCCAUGCCGCGUGUGUGAAGAAGGCCCUCGGGUUGUAAAGCACUUUCAGUGAGGAAGAACGCCUGGUGGUUAAUACCCAUCAGGAAAGACAUCACUCACAGAAGAAGCACCGGCUAACUCCGUGCCAGCAGCCGCGGUAAUACGGAGGGUGCGAGCGUUAAUCGGAAUUACUGGGCGUAAAGCGCGCGUAGGUGGCUUGAUAAGCCGGUUGUGAAAGCCCCGGGCUCAACCUGGGAACGGCAUCCGGAACUGUCAAGCUAGAGUGCAGGAGAGGAAGGUAGAAUUCCCGGUGUAGCGGUGAAAUGCGUAGAGAUCGGGAGGAAUACCAGUGGCGAAGGCGGCCUUCUGGACUGACACUGACACUGAGGUGCGAAAGCGUGGGUAGCAAACAGGAUUAGAUACCCUAGUAGUC